rnacentral:rRNA from 1 species
CACUAUAAACCAUUACCCUGG